AUUGAACGCUGGCGGCAGGCCUAACACAUGCGAGUCGAACGGUAACAGGAAGCAGCUUGCUGCUUUGCUGACGAGUGGCGGACGGGUGAGUAAUGUCUGGGAAACUGCCUGAUGGAGGGGGAUAACUACUGGAAACGGUAGCUAAUACCGCAUAACGUCGCAAGACCAAAGAGGGGGACCUUCGGGCCUCUUGCCCUCGGAUGUGCCCAGAUGGGAUUAGCUAGUAGGUGGGGUAACGGCUCACCUAGGCGACGAUCCCUAGCUGGUCUGAGAGGAUGACCAGCCACACUGGAACUGAGACACGGUCCAGACUCCUACGGGAGGCAGCAGUGGGGAAUAUUGCACAAUGGGCGCAAGCCUGAUGCAGCCAUGCCGCGUGUAUGAAGAAGGCCUUCGGGUUGUAAAGUACUUUCAGCGGGGAGGAAGGGAGUAAAGUUAAUACCUUUGCUCAUUGACGUUACCCGCAGAAGAAGCACCGGCUAACUCCGUG
rnacentral:rRNA from 1 species